rnacentral:tRNA from 1 species
GGGGCUGUGGCUUAGUGGUACAGCAUCUGCACGGUAUGCAGAAAGUCCCCAGUUCGAUCCUUGGUAUCUUCA